UUGUACUUAAGUGUUUAGUGUCUUUUGAUGUGUUUUUAGUGUUUUUCUGUGCAGGUCACGAGUUGAGGUGAUGAAGUGAUUUUCUAUCAUUUUAGGUUGUUUUUGGUGCAUUAUUUGCAAGAAUAGAGAAUUGUGGAUUCAUCACGACUUGGGAUUUUGUGGGUACAUCUUCUACAAACCCUCACGAGAACACACUCGUCCACUAGAGCUAUCUAGGGGUUUAAAGGGCUUGUUGCAUGUGCUAAAUGCAACCGUGAUCACCUACGGAAGUGGUACUAGAGCGAGGAAGGACAUGCACGCGAGAACGAGCUGAAAAACGAAGAAUAGGGCUGCCAGUGGCAGACAGUAGCGCACCCGCGCUAACCUCUAGCGCGCCCGCGCUACCUACUGCUGCCACUAGCGCGCCUGCGCUAGUUUAGCGCGGCCGCGCCCUCCAGAAGUGUUCCGGGCCGAUUUUUACAGCUUUUCUGAUGGAUUUUCGCAGCGGACGAGGCCCGGUUGACUUAGUCAAAGCAUUUUAAUUUCUCAAGUGUAAAAACCCUAGCCUCGAAGUAGUU
rnacentral:lncRNA from 1 species